AUUGAAGGGAGGGGGAAACAGAGGGAAUGGAGGGAUCCUGCUACCUGCUAUAUAAGGCCUGAAAAUAUUUGGGAAAUAUCAUAUUUGUUUCUGUCGUUGAAAGGAAAAGAUACUUCAAAAGUUGUGAUUAUCACAUGUUGAUGUACGACAAGUAUGGGUUACCACGUGUUCGUCCGAUUGUUUCGUCAAGUUUAUUUUCAACUAACUGAUGUAUCCAAGAAAUUCUCAAGUUGUUGAUGCUGAAGUGGAAUUUCUGUGUUGCAGUUUCACUAAGUUAGUGAUGAUUUACAUCUGAACAACCUUGCUGGACAUAGAUCAUAGUUUUUCACUCCCUUCUGUGGAUUCUGCUUGCUUGAUGAGUUGCUGACACCUGAUUCACUUGGUUUGGGAGAUUACUGUGUCACUGGUACUCAGUUUUUAUUCUCUGGUAACCAUAAUACUUAGGAGAUCCUUGAAAGGAAAUUUUAAAUCUGCAGGUUCACUUUAUGUCCAAUUAUGCUGUCUGCUCUUGACUGUUGUAUGUUGCAUUCAGGUGCUAACAUGAUGCUGCCCAGUCUCCAGUGUUGCUCUUGGAGGGUGUUGGACUUGUUUGGUUUUAGAUCGUGUGGGACUUUGUGGCUUUCUUGAGGUUAUGUUGCGUCGUGUCGGAUGUUCUAUCUCCAGGGUGUCAUUUCGGUACCGUCGCCAAAGCAUCCAAUAAGAUAGGUAUUACAGGGUGUUUAAAAUAUAGGAGAGGUGAGGUUGUCGUAAGUUGUCUAAUCAUCUGGCGUCGACAAAUCUUUCCCUCGUCAUAGAUGGAUGCGAAAGUUUGUUAUAGCUGUAAACACUGCCAAGACCAGCUUUUGUUUUUCUACUAUUAGAAUUACGGGUGGAUCCUACCUACAUGGCAGGCACAGGUUUGGAUAUGCAGUUCUGUGAUGCAGAUGAAGAUUCUUUAGACUAUGUUAGGUUCUAUUGGAUUUGGUUCCAUUAUGGAAACGAUUUCUUUAAGUCGCUAGGUCUACUUCUAUUAUGAACUAAGGUAAUUCACUUCUUUUUGUGGAAAGUUGACGUGGUUCUUACUUUGAGAAAUUUUGUGGCACACUUAUCUGUUUAAUCAGUGGGGUAAGGGAAUGUUGUAGGAUGCAGGGGCGGCCAAUAUUAACAUUAGCAACCACUUAACAUGUAAGGGAAACAUGUAAAAUGAAUUUAUUUCUAAUGAUGAGAUUUAUGAAUGUUAUAUGUGGGAACUUAAAGGUUUAAGAAAAUUUUGGAGGGCGUUAGUACACCUGUUAUCGAGCCUCAGUUUAAGGAUGUCAUUGGCAUUAUUCAUCUGUAAAAUUGUCAAGUAAUGUGUGAUGCGGUGUUCAAAGGAACAUUUAUAUCCUAAGUUCCAUGCUAUGUGUGAACAAAAGAGCCAUAAGACUAAAAUCCGCCUUCAGGGUUUGUUAAGCAUCCAUGAUUUUUGGUAAGUGUUUAUAUAUUCUUGUUUAUAGUGGUUGGGAACAAGUAAAAUAGACAAAUAUCGCGGUCUGAACGGAAAUGUUAAAUAUAUUUGUUCGUGUACAUAUAAUAUGGUUAUUUCCUUCGUGUAUCACCCCGAUGCAUUUGUUAUUUACUACAUUUCAUAACUUUUAUGUUAUGAAAAACUUUGAAGAAUGGUCAUAGUAAUUGUAAUUAACAUAAAACAAUCUUUGCAAAAUGUUUUAAUCAUAUUUAUAUAUUAUUUAGCAAAAUUCCGACGAUUCAAUUACACGUUAAGUAUAGAUAAAAUUGUCAAGAUAAAACAAUUUGAAAUUGUUAAUUCGUGUGCAUUUUAUCACUAAUCGAACUCUAAAUUAUCUAUAAUUUUAUUAAUAUUUUAAUCACUAAGCUAUUUGCGUUAUUUGAUUUAUGUUGUAAUAUGACACUUAAUCAACUCUAUAUAAAACUUACUUAAAAGUGACCAAAAAUUAUGGUAACAACUUCAUUACCCACCAUUGCUUAGUGGUUGAAACAUUUAAUGUACAAAAUGUUUUUUGGGAAAAAAAAUUACUCAUUUCAUUGAGCAAUUUCUAUUACACUUUUUUUCUAUGAAUGGAACAUGUCAUUACUUGUACUUAAAAAAAUUUCUGUUAUAAAACUUCAUAUGUUCUAUGUUCAUUUCAAAGAAAACAGCGAUUAUUAAAAUGGUAAUCAUGACGGAAUGAUAGCGCACUGGCCAUGGGUAUAAUGUUUGAUCUACGACAGAGUUGAAUUAAUAUGUAGAAUAAAAUUAAUUAACCCAAAAUAUAAUUGCACUUUCAAUUAGUGUAAGAAAACAAACAAUCGUGGAAGGUUAAAGUAGGAAACAAUUAACAAAAAUUGUAGUGGUCAAAUUAAUUAAAAUUAAUUAAACUAUAGUACAAAUAAAAUUGUUUCGUAUGUCAAUUUAUUCUAAAUACGAUAUCUCUUGAUCGCGAAAUAUCGGAAGUUAGACAUUACUUGGAAUCGAACCUGACACUUACAAGACGCCAUCCCACUGAGCUAUAAUACAACUGUAUCGAUAUAGUGCGACACUUGAGGGUCUAUUGACGUAUGCUCAGCAAAUCAUGUUAUUUAGGAAUACCUUACCAAAAAAAACAAAAAACAUCAGUGUUAGCUUAAGUGGAAGACGGGGAGUCGGGCGAGGCGAAUAUGGUGCACUUGUCAGAUCAGUACUGACAGGAUAUGAUGAACAAGUGAAGAGUAGCAAAAUGAGGUGAUGGUAUUCUAACCCAUAGUAUUCGUGUCAUUUGUUAACUUUCUCCACAGUCAGCAUCCUUAACGAUUUAGGUUUCCCAAGCUACUUCUUAAAAGCAUCAUCAUGCUAGUUGGAUUGUUAUUGUUACUGCUUCUUGUUAUUGUUACAAGCUACUUCUUAAAAGCCUCAUCAUGCUAAUAGGAUUGUUAUUGUCAAAAUUUAAGUUUAAUACCUCACAAUGAGCAAUAGAUUUGCAUGAUGGAACGCAAAAGUAAUAAUUACUACUGAGAUUUGGCAGCUGGCAUAGCUGAUCAAAAGAAUACCCAUUCCACAAAAAAAAUAUCCAUUUAAUGUGCCUCACUACAAAAACACACAAAAGAAUAAAAACACUUUAUAGUAGAUAGCACAAUUUACAUAUACAUUAAAUCUAUUUGAAUUGUUUUCAUUCAGCACAUACACAACAAUGAGUGUUUAAAUAGUAAAUAUCGUACCGUCUUAUUUUAUUGGAACUAUCCUUCGGAAAAUAAGAGGUUAAGGGAAAAAUCAUACACAGAUGACAGAUUUAACUCGUUACUCGUAAUCACACAUGACACUUGACAGUUGACACAGUUAUGGAGAAGCCCAGUAGCGCCAUCUAGUAUUACUGAAAUCGUGCGUUUUUUAAAUUUUAAGCCCGACUUAAUAAGCCCGACCGGCCCGACUAUGCGAAGCCAGGCGAAGCUAUGGGGUGAGGGUCCCUAAAGCUAAGUUGGGUAAAACAAAAAAGUAAAGUUAGUGAAAGAUUCUCUUAGAAUCCAAAACCGGCUGCUACUUACUAGAGCCAGCAGCUGGGUGCCUUAAAGUUGAAGUGGAAGUUAGUGAAAGAUCACUAAUGUAUAGGAUUGAAUUUUGUAACUAUGCCAAGGUAACAAGCCGUCUUAUGGUAGAAAUUAUUAGGCCUUACGCCUAAGAAGUUCUAGUUGUUACUGGUUGUCUGCUGAAUGUAGAUUGUGUUCUAUUUUAAACAUUAUCUUGGUUACAACACAAAAAUUUGCCACUUUUUUGUGCCAACCUGUGACACACUUCUUUUCAAGAUUAUUUGCAUGCUACACUCACGGUAGAUGCUACACUCACGGUAGAUUGUCACCAGACAUCCUUUGAAUGGUACACCCACUGUCAGCAGCCUUACAGUGUGCUUCAUAAAUACAUCAACCCCUGAGAUAACAUUAUCGUUGGAAAUUGUGUGUUUGUUGUGGUUUUGUUUUCCACUUCUAUUAUCCACAUGCAAUUUUCACACUACUUCAUUACCUUUGUGGUGGAUAUUUUAUCAUCCUGGAAAAAGGAUUAUGGAAAUUUAUGAAUUCUAAUAUACAGCUGAUAACAAGAUUUAAUAUAUUAACAUUUCAGAAUGAGCUUUCAAUUUGAAGCUGUGAGUGUUUUAUCAGAUUAUGAAUUCCUACUUUGUAAACCAAACUUUCCUUCUACAAAUGGAUUUUGAAGUAUUGUACAUGGGUAUUAUGUGCUCUAUGAUAUCUUUGCAAAGUUUUUAAUUGAUGUUAUACUAAAAAAAUUCCCAUGGAAGGAAGUUCUUGCAGGAUCUGUUAUCGACCGUCUAUGUUAUGCAGUAAUUGGAUCUGCAGUUUAGUUAGAAACUGUUACUUAGAAAUGGGCUCAGCGUAGAAUUUAUAUGAAAAAUUAUAUUUGAUUGGAAAAAGAUCCUGGUUGAGACAAGAGAUU